GGUCGUGUGAUGUAGUGGUCAAAGCAUUCCAGAUUUUGAAUCAUAUGAGAGCACUGUCAACAUAUGACUUUGAAAGGUUCUGGCUACCUGGGUUCGAAUCCCAGCAUGACCA